AGAGUUUGAUCAUGGCUCAGAUUGAACGCUGGCGGCAUGCCUUACACAUGCAAGUCGAACGGUAACAGCACUUCGGUGGCUGACGAGUGGCGGACGGGUGAGUAAUACAUCGGAACGUGCCCGAUCGUGGGGGAUAACUACUCGAAAGAGUGGCUAAUACCGCAUACGAUCUACGGAUGAAAGCGGGGGAUCGCAAGACCUCGCGCGGACGGAGCGGCCGAUGGCAGAUUAGGUAGUUGGUGGGAUAAAAGCUUACCAAGCCGACGAUCUGUAGCUGGUCUGAGAGGACGACCAGCCACACUGGGACUGAGACACGGCCCAGACUCCUACGGGAGGCAGCAGUGGGGAAUUUUGGACAAUGGGGGAAACCCUGAUCCAGCCAUGCCGCGUGCAGGAUGAAGGCCUUCGGGUUGUAAACUGCUUUUGUACGGAACGAAAAGACUCUUUCUAAUACAGAGGGUCCAUGACGGUACCGUAAGAAUAAGCACCGGCUAACUACGUGCCAGCAGCCGCGGUAAUACGUAGGGUGCAAGCGUUAAUCGGAAUUACUGGGCGUAAAGCGUGCGCAGGCGGUUAUAUAAGACAGAUGUGAAAUCCCCGGGCUCAACCUGGGAACUGC
rnacentral:rRNA from 1 species